AAUGAACGCUGGCGGCAUGCCUAACACAUGCAAGUCGAACGAUGGCUUCGGCCUUAGUGGCGCACGGGUGCGUAACGCGUGGGAAUCUGCCCUCAGGUUCGGAAUAACAGCGAGAAAUUGCUGCUAAUACCGGAUGAUAUCGCGAGAUCAAAGAUUUAUCGCCUGAGGAUGAGCCCGCGUAGGAUUAGCUAGUUGGUGUGGUAAAGGCGCACCAAGGCGACGAUCCUUAGCUGGUCUGAGAGGAUGAUCAGCCACACUGGGACUGAGACACGGCCCAGACUCCGACGGGAGGCAGCAGUGGGGAAUAUUGGACAAUGGGCGAAAGCCUGAUCCAGCAAUGCCGCGUGAGUGAUGAAGGCCUUAGGGUUGUAAAGCUCUUUUACCCGGGAUGAUAAUGACAGUAACGGGAGAAUAAGCUCCGGCUAACUCCGUGCCAGCAGCCGCCGUAA
rnacentral:rRNA from 1 species